GGGGAAUAUUGGACAAUGGGCGCAAGCCUGAUCCAGCCAUGCCGCGUGAGUGAUGAAGGCCUUAGGGUUGUAAAGCUCUUUUGUCCGGGAAGAUAAUGACCGUACCGGAAGAAUAAGCUCCGGCUAACUUCGUGCCAGCAGCCGCGGUAAUACGAAGGGAGCUAGCGUUGUUCGGAAUUACUGGGCGUAAAGCGCAUGCAGGCGGAUCGUUAAGUCGGGGGUGAAAUCCCAGGGCUCAACCCUGGAACUGCCUUCGAUACUGGCGACCUUGAGUCCGGGAGAGGUGAGUGGAACUCCGAGUGUAGAGGUGAAAUUCGUAGAUAUUCAGAAGAACACCAGUGGCGAAGGCGGCUCACUGGCCCGGUACUGACGCUGAGAUGCGAAAGCGUGGGGAGCAAACA
rnacentral:rRNA from 1 species